rnacentral:tRNA from 1 species
UCCCCGAUAGCUCAAUAGGUAGAGCGAGUGGCUGUUAACCACUAGGUCCUUGGUUCGAGCCCAAGUCGGGGAGCCA